rnacentral:rRNA from 1 species
GAGCGGCGAACGGGUGAGUAACACGUGAGUAACCUGCCCCUGACUCUGGGAUAAGCCUGGGAAACUGGGUCUAAUACCGGAUAUGACCACUUCUCGCAUGGGAUGGUGGUGGAAAGUUUUUUCGGUUGGGGAUGGGCUCGCGGCCUAUCAGCUUGUUGGUGGGGUAGUGGCCUACCAAGGCGACGACGGGUAGCCGGCCUGAGAGGGCGACCGGCCACACUGGGACUGAGACACGGCCCAGACUCCUACGGGAGGCAGCAGUGGGGAAUAUUGCGCAAUGGGCGGAAGCCUGACGCAGCGACGCCGCGUGGGGGAUGACGGCCUUCGGGUUGUAAACCUCUUUCAGCAGGGACGAAGUUGACGUGUACCUGUAGAAGAAGCGCCGGCUAACUACGUGCCAGCAGCCGCGGUAAUACGUAGGGCGCAAGCGUUGUCCGGAUUUAUUGGGCGUAAAGAGCUCGUAGGUGGCUUGUUGCGUCUGCCGUGAAGCUUAGGGCUUAACCCUAGGUCUGCGGNGGAUACGGGCAGGCUAGAGGCUGGUAGGGGCAAGCGGAAUUCCU